UCCUGUUUCACAAGAAUUCAAAUAUCACACAAUAUGGAAUUCUUUUUCUUCCUCUAUUUCUUUCAUGUGAAAAUAGACUCAUUAAGCUUUAAUCCCAUAUUUUAUUCUGCCUCUAACUCAUUUUCCACUAUUUUUAGUGUAUUUUCAAAGUUACACUACUGCAGUAACUCAAAUCUGUCAAGGCUAAAUUACUCAUUCAUGAUCAUUGUUCACAAAAUUAAUAUAACAUCGUUUGUAUAAUCAUCACUGAGACAUUCAUAUCACAUUUUCAUUUACCAUCUUACCAUAUUGUUGUUAUGUCGAGUUUUCAACCCGAGCGUUAAGUACAUACCUGUUCAAAGUAUCCAUUUCACAACAUUUACCAAUACGUCCCUUUCAUCUCGAGUAUUCCUCCAUUUGAGUAGAAUUUCACCCGUUGAACACAUCGGAAUAUAAUUCGGAUACAUGGAAAGUUUGCACAUAAGU
rnacentral:lncRNA from 1 species